rnacentral:snRNA from 1 species
AGCUUUGCACAGUGACAGUAUCGUAGCCAAUGAGGUUUAUCCGAGGCGCAAUUAUUGCUCAUUGAAAAUGU